CCUCCCCCCGCCCUGAGUGAAGUUGACGCUGCCAAAGUGGGCUCUGCAGGCCAGGCUUGGCCCAGGUUCCAGGAACCAUGGGAGGGACCCACUGGCUCCUGCCCAUUUUAAAAGCAGACUGUGGGCUUCCUCCCAGCUCAGUGGGUCUGGGUUCCCCUCCGCAGUGGAGGGAGACAUGGUGAUGGAGCAGCCAGCAGUGGGGAACCUCCUUGUGCUUGGCUUUAUGUACAGGAGCAUAUGUGCGCCUAUCUGCUCCAUGCCUGCUGUUUACCCGCUUCCUUCCAGUUAACGUAUGUUUCCAUUGCUGUCCAUCUGUCUCGCGCACUCUCUCCAUCUCUUACUUUCUCUUUGCUUUGCUCUCUUCCAUGCACCAGCAGGAAUCUCUGGGCCUGAUUCCACAGCUGCCGCUGCAGCCAGUGGCAGUCACUAGCCCCCCGAGGCAGCAGAAUUGGGCUCCCCUGGCUUGCUGUAAUUGGAUCAAGCUGCUCAGCCGGUGAUGGCCUUGAAUCGCUCUGGGAAGGAUGUUGCUGGCCUUCCCCAUGCAGACUCUAGCUGGCAAAGGGCAGGUGCUGAGAGCCCACAGCCCAGAGAGGAAGGGAACUCAGAUGAAUGGGGAUGUCAGACAUGUGGGUUUGGGCGGGGAGAGCGGUGGAGCUUAAAAGCUAUUUUUUCUUCUGCUGAAUGUUGAUGGGUUUCUCAUGUUACUCUGAGGUGCCCUGGUCCCCUGCCCCCUGGUGCAGCUGGUGCCCCAUCACUGCCCUCCUGCUUUUGUGGUGCCUGCCCCCCUUGGCCUGCAGUGUCCCACCCACAAUUCUGGAGCAUAGAUUCCGAGCUCACAAGCCAAGAUCCCAGUCUCUGGCUGAGAUCAGGGUGAAGACCUGGGAGCAGAGAUCCAAGUUUGGGACGCGGGGUCUGCGUCUGGGGUGAGUGGUUUGGAUUAGAGCUGAAAGGCUUCAUUUUGGGGGUCUGGGAUUGACUUCAUUUUUGGGGAGUGGAGUGGGGGAAGGUUUGAUUUUUGGCCUUCAGCUUUGAGGCAAGGCUCUUGGAUGCGGGGUUCGCUUUUGGGCCCCGGUGAAAGGACGAGGGCCUGAGUUUUUGGGGUGGGGCUUUGGCUCUGAAUUUGGGGUGACGGUUUGGGUUGCCGUUAUCUCAACCAGCUCAACCCUCCUUGAGAACUAACUCCAAAACACGGUUCCCUCUCUGCUUGCUCUGGGCACAGCUGCUGUCUGCCCUCUCCUGGCCAGGCUGCAGCGAGGAGGCAUCUCCGGGCCCUUCCCCACUCCAGACCUGUGGGCUUGGCUUUCCUUUCGCCAAUCAGACUUCUAGGCUGCAUGGAGGGUUUUGCCUUCCCCUCUCAAAUGCAGAUGCUGCCUUAGUGGUGUUCUCUGCUGCUAGCAGCUUUAGACUGGCGAGAGUUAUAGCCUGAGCCCGGAGGAGCAAGACAUCCGUGAGGAAGCCGCUGACACAGAUGGGGUGGUGGGAGCGGAGAGAAGCCAGGCAAACCUUGACUGUGCAUUCCUCCUGGGUCCAUUCACGUCCCAAGGUUCUUCAGGACGAUCGUAACAUGGUGUGCAUGGAUGUCGUGCCUUCCAUCCCAUGGGAUUCCAAAGGCAGGCUGCAUAAGUCACAACGGCAUUUAGCUUUCUCGGUGUACAUCAAUAUAUAGGUAUAAACAGUCUGACAGAUA